GCCAGUGUGGCAUAGUGGUUUGAGCAUUGGACUAGGACUCUUGAGACCAGGGUUAAAAUCCCCACUUGGACA